GGGCGAAUUCCAAGCUUGAGUUUGAUCCUGGCUCAGAGCGAACGCUGGCGGCAGGCUUAACACAUGCAAGUCGAACGGGCGUAGCAAUACGUCAGUGGCAGACGGGUGAGUAACGCGUGGGAACGUACCUUUUGGUUCGGAACAACACAGGGAAACUUGUGCUAAUACCGGAUAAGCCCUUACGGGGAAAGAUUUAUCGCCGAAAGAUCGGCCCGCGUCUGAUUAGCUAGUUGGUGAGGUAAUGGCUCACCAAGGCGACGAUCAGUAGCUGGUCUGAGAGGAUGAUCAGCCACAUUGGGACUGAGACACGGCCCAAACUCCUACGGGAGGCAGCAGUGGGGAAUAUUGGACAAUGGGCGAAAGCCUGAUCCAGCCAUGCCGCGUGAGUGAUGAAGGCCCUAGGGUUGUAAAGCUCUUUUGUGCGGGAAGAUAAUGACGGUACCGCAAGAAUAAGCCCCGGCUAACUUCGUGCCAGCAGCCGCGGUAAUACGAAGGGGGCUAGCGUUGCUCGGAAUCACUGGGCGUAAAGGGUGCGUAGGCGGGUUUCUAAGUCAGAGGUGAAAGCCUGGAGCUCAACUCCAGAACUGCCUUUGAUACUGGAAGUCUUGAGUAUGGCAGAGGUGAGUGGAACUGCGAGUGUAGAGGUGAAAUUCGUAGAUAUUCGCAAGAACACCAGUGGCGAAGGCGGCUCACUGGGCCAUUACUGACGCUAGCAC
rnacentral:rRNA from 1 species